AGUCCUCUGCCAGGAAAGGCCCUGAAAGCACGUGCCCAGGGCUGACAUUCCAUGUACAAUUGGGAGGGGCGGUGAGCAGUUCUCUCCCAACAAGCCUGGGUGGAGAGUCUAAUCAUUAGUCCCUUCCUGGGCCCAUGAUGCAACUGAGAACACGGGCCCAGAUGGAGAUGUGUUCCCUGGGAGGCUUAGAGCAGGACCCCACCGUCCUGGUCACUCCCACUUUGCCCAAAAGGGCCCCUUGCCACAGAUCGCACCAGCUGCCAUGAUGAUGCCCGCUCAGCUAUAGCCCCGCCGGUAGAAGGCAUCAGUGAGCACUGAGUCAGGGCCCAGGCUGUGCCAGGGCACCAUGAGGGUGAGCACAGUGGAGACAAUGAUGUAGGCGCCAGCUGCCAGGCCAAGCGAGAUGACGAUGGCCAUAGGCAUGGCUUGCUUUGGGUUCUGGGCCUCCCCAUGUAGUUAGUAAUGACAUGAAAGCCCAGGAAGGUGUAGAAGCAGGUGGCAGCACCGGCCAUGAUGCCAGAGAAGCUGAAGGGUGCAAAGCCCCCCUCCUCAGUGCUCCAGUUGUGCGGGCGGGCCAGGACACACGCCAGGAUGAUGAUGAAGAGGAUGCUGACCAUGCUGAUGGCAGAGAAGGUGAGGUUAAGCCAGGGAGAGACGUGGGCUCCGCAGGAGACAAAUGUGGAGACCAAAAGUAGGAUGCCAGCUGCCAAGAAGUCUGGGUAUUGGGCUAGGAAGGGCUAGCUGCCAGAUGCCCACAUGGGCCAGAGUGAAGCUACGGAUGGGGUGGAUGAAGAUGGCAUCCAGGUGGCUGCUCCAGGUGCGGGGCCCAGCAGCACCAGCAAUGAGGCACUGGAGGAGCACAUUCCAGUCAAUGAGGAAGGCCCACAGCUCGCCCGUGUACAGCCAUAAGAACCAGAAGAAAAAAGGAGAGGAAUUCUCCCUCUUCCCCUACAGUUUUGGCAUAGCUGGCAGGAUCCCCACGUUCUGGCAAGCUGCCUUCUCUGGCUGGAAGAACUGCUUUCUCCUCAAGAUAACUGCAGAUGAGGAGAUCCCAGUCAUCUGAUGAAGGCUGGCAAGAGGUGGAGCACAGACCAAAUUCCUCCCAUGCCAGGUUACCAAACCCUGGCCACGCUAACCAGUCAAUCUGACUGUUGGUUAUGUCAACAGCUAGAGAGCACAAAAGAACCUGAACUAGUCUCUGUUCCUGCUGAUGUGAACACCUGGUGGACUAAGUACGGAAGAUGGAUGAACGACAGGGUAUGGUAUCCAUGACAAGGAAAACAUCACUCUGCCUCUCCUCCUGGUGAGUCACUUGGGCCUCAGAAAACCUCUAGAGAAGCUCAAGGACUGUCCCUUGCCCAGAUAAAGAAAAUAGGUAAAAAAUUUUCCAUUUUCAUUCAAAGUAAACAUGAUACUGGACUUUUCCUGGGUAAGGUGGACAGAGUUUGGGGACCCAUCCCCCUGGUCUAACAGGCGAAUCUGGCAAGCAAACUGCAGAGGCUUUAAGUCAGUACAAUACCAUCCAGGCUGUCCUGUGAAGCAGCCGUGCAGGCCAUCCUCAGCCUGUGUCCAACAAGCUUGCAGGCCCCACCUCGUGACAGAA